AGUAUCGUUACUUCUCCAAUCGUAAGUUGGUUAACAACGUUAAUUCUACGGCCAAUAAAUUAAUCUAAGUGUACUCUGUGUAACAAGGAAAACGAUUUUGCUGGCGGCAGCAUCUUGGAGAAGAGCAAUUCCUUCAAUUUGCCCACUGGUUCAUUGAUAGCCAAGCCUUUGACCCAUUUUUCAUGACCGUGAACGUGAGCUAGAGAGCCAUUAAAAGCGUCAUUGUCACAACUACUAGAAAGACACGAGACGAUCCUUUAAUUGCAAACACUUGCCCUGCUAACUGACGUACUUGUGCUUGGAACAGUCUAAGAUACAAAGACGAAAUAAAAGCGUCAUUUCAAAGUUCCCGAGAUAUCUAAUCGAGCAAAGAUCAAUGAUCAAAUAAAAUUAUUCAAAUCCUAUCGAUUAUCAUAUCAUUGAUAACAUAUUUCUACAUUUUUUUCAUCGAAAUUAUAUUUAUUAAAUCUACUAUCAAAAUCUACUAUAAAAUUCUUCGAAUAAAAAAAAAUGGCGUCUGAAUUUAAGGAACGAGUGUACUUUUCUGAAGUGAUACACAUCAGAAAGAGAAGAAAAAUGAUACCUGCGAGGAUUCAGCUGCGACCCCGCAUAAUUUUGAAUAGAAUAGAUUCCACACCACACCCUUCAAACUUUAGAAACUUGUUUGAGAAGAUCUUGGCUUCAAGAUCUUGUGUGGUAUGCAAUUGGACAAACGUGACUUUCUUGAGAUUUAAUGCGAC